rnacentral:lncRNA from 1 species
CCUGAGUUAGUCCUAGUGGGAAAGUCGGUGAUGUUGGGGCCGAACCCACUGGGAACUUUGUUGUAGUUCUCACCCCACUAUUUCCACAGAGCCGGGACCGAGCGAGCCGGCGAGCGACCGAGGUAAAGGUAUCGCGCCUUAAACAGAGGCCACCAAUGUUGGGUUUCAUUUUGUUAGUAGACACCCUUUUAUCAUCUUUUGUAUUUGAUGAUUAGUGAUGUAAAGAAAGAAUGCAAAACUUAUUUUGAGGCAAAUGUGAUGUAAGAAAGUGAUGAUGUAAUGAAUGUAAGAAUUCGUUAAAUUAUUAGAUGAAUGCAAUGUAUGUGAUCCAAAAUGAAUCAUAGUACAAGUGAAUGUUUAGUUUUCCUUUUUCUUUCACUAAUGGCUAUUGCUUACCCUCGUGUAAGCCGUUUGUGUAUGUUUCCGCUAGUGCACUUCUUAUUGAAAAUGUACAUGUGAUGAGCCUUGGGCGGAUAGAGGAAACUCUGUCCGUUCGGCAUCUAUUUAACGUGCUCGGGUCAGGCCUAAUUGGCAUUGGUCCCGGGGCGUGACAUACAGGUUGCACGCGACCGGCGCGGCGGCGCGAGGACAGGGCGUAGCUCCGUAGAUAGCACCCCACCACUGGGACCGAGAUAGCAAUACCCUGAUGUGAUCGAGCUCAUAGAGUAUAAGAUGAAGAAACAAAUUUGUAGUAAAUUGUAUAAGUUUUGUAAUAACCUAAAGGUAUUUGUAAUAGUGUAAAUGUAAAAUUCUGAGAUGAAUGCUUGUAAUAGCAUAGCUCACAUUUAUGUUUUUGAUACUAUGCAAUCUGUGGUUGAAUACAGUUCCUGUUUGGAACCUCUUGUAUCGCAUUGUAGAGAUUGUGACGCCUAGAACGUACAGGGGAGGCUCUGUCCAUUCGGCGGUCUGUCGGCGUGCCCGAAUCCGACCAAAUAGGCGGAGCUCGGGGCGUGACAGUAAAUCUGUUGGAAAUUGGGUUAUGUAAAGUACUUCAACCUUAGCUGGACAUAGUAGUAAAGUUACUUUAUGUCUUUGGUUAAGUGAACUUAUUGAUGAACAGACUAGAAAGUUGACAUCUAAAGUGAGCUUAGUGGUGAAUCACCUAGAAGUUGACAUCAUGAUUGGUUAGCAACAUAAUGAAUGACAUUAUGUUUCUUUCUUGCUAAUGAAAAAGGUAAUUACAUGAUAUCAUCUGUAAUUUCAGUAAAGUGAAUUAUCUUGCAUACAAUCUGGUAUAUGUUUGGUUAAAUUGUCAAGUAAUCUGACUGAUAGAAUCUAUCAUGAUAACUGAUACCUGCAAUCUAUUGAUGAGUAUUUAUUAUUGAGCAAAUAGCAUGAGUAGUUUACUUUCAUAUCUGUUGCAUGUAAUUGCUUAUUGCAUUAUAUGCAUUAACUUGUUUAUUUAUUGCUAUCUACUCAUGCCACAGUUGACCUAGUGGUGUAGUUCGCCACUCUCGGCGGCUUACCCAUUGGGAACUAUUGUUUAAUAGUUCUCACGCCCUCUUUGUUGUUGUUUUUACAGAGCCUUCCACCGCGGGAAAGGCUAGGGUUCUUGGCGAGGGGUCUGCGGCUAGCUAGAGCCUUUUUGGAUGUGUACUAGAUGGCCUCCACUAGUUUAUGUAGCUUAGUAUAGAGGAGUAUAUUAAGUUUUGUAAAUUGUACUUUAUUCUUAUUUCAUGUAUUAAGGUUUGGAUUGUAUAUGUUAAACUUACAAGUCUUGCUCUGAUUAUCUGGUUAGAAUUAUAUGCUUUUAUUAUAUGGUUUGUAGACGCCUUGUGUAUACUUGAGUUGUGGUGUAUACGGCGGGUCUGUGCACGCGACCGGAUAUGCUUCCGCUGGUACCCGUGUGUGACAGGUUCAUCACUGUUUCAUUGGAUCUAAAACCCGGAAAUACAGCACAUGUCCCAAAGGCCUUCCUCUAUGUCAUCGUGUCUAAAACACGGAAUAUAGUAACUGUCUCAAUGGCCUAUCUCUAUGCCAUCAUAUCUAAAACAUGGAAUAUAGUAACUGUCUCAAUGGCCUUUCUCUAUGUAAUCAUGUCUAAAACAUGGAAUAUAGUAACUGUCUCAAUGGCCUAUCUCUAUGUCAUCAUGUCUAAAACAUG